GUGACGGAUCUAUGUGAACACAAUGGUAUUUGUAUCAAUAACAACGGUUCUUACGUGUGUAAUUGUUCAGAAGGAUGGCAGGGAAAACAUUGUGAAGAUGAUGUGGACGAAUGCCAACUGACAGAACUGUGUAAACACAAUGGAACCUGCAUCAACAACAAUGGAUCUUAUGUCUGUGAUUGUAAAGAUGGUUGGCAGGGACAACAUUGUGAAGAUGAUGUGGAUGAAUGUCAACGGACAGAACUGUGUAAACACAAUGGAACGUGUAUCAACAAUAAUGGAUCUUAUGUCUGUGAUUGUAAAGAUGGUUGGCAGGGACAACAUU